UGGGAAUGUGGCAGUGUAAAGUGUGUGGAACAGAAGUUUGUAGUAGGAGGAAGACGAAUGGUGACCCUGAAGAGGCACAUCCUCAUUUAAGAAAAGGAGAGAAAAAUGUCGAGUCCGGUCAUUCUGAGGAUUGUUUUUGGUGGGGAUGAUGAUGCAAGAAAGCUUACACUUAAGACAGGAAUCCCAAAGUCUGUGGAUGACCUUGUACUUGAAAUAAUGACUGUUUUUGGGGUGAAGCAAAAGUUCAGGCUCCAGUACAAAGAUAAGGACUUUGGAAAUGAAUACAUGAAUCUCAUGUCAACCAGUCAAAUUGAAGACAGGGAUACCCUGAAAGUGAUUUUUUCUAUCAACUGAUGACUAUAACUCCUGCAUGCAAGAGACUGCACCUGAUGCACCUUCCUGUUCCAGCAUUCUGGUUCCUUCACCCAGCUCAAUUUGUAGCUAUGACACAAUAGAUGUUAGCCCUUGUGCCAUUGACUCAGUCCAGGAAGUCAACUUGUCUGAUGACUCAUUUUCCAGCAGUGCUGAGACUGUCUUAAUUACGUCUCCAGAGUCGAGAACCAGUUCUUGGCCUAAGGUUUUUGUAGUUCCUCGUUUUUCAUGUUCUGCUGAAAUUCAGCUUCAGAGAGCUGACACAGAGUUCAACAAAAGUGAAAUGCUACUUAUUCCACCACCCAAACUAAGAUCUGACAUUCUUGAAGGCAUGGCUGAGGAGAUCUUUAUGUAUGCAGCAUACCCCUCUGAUAGUCAGC
ensembl:lncRNA